CCUGGAGAACAUUUUGAGAGAGGUACCUGUUUUGUUGACUUUCCAUUCAUUAUUUGCUUAACAUUCAAGCUGGCUUUGUAUUUAGUACCUUAGGUUGAACUAAAUGCAUGCAGUGGAUAAUGGAUGUCAUAAGGUCACCCUUUAAAAUGUCAUAACAUAAUUUUUAUUCCUUUUCUGGUUCUCUACUUUGUAUACCAGGAUAUGGUGUAUGGUCACUUGAAACUAAAAGCUUAUCCAUGUUGCUCAUUUUCGAGUGACUGGCAAAUAAUGAAGGGAGAUUUUAGUGAUAUUAACAUUAUGUAAUCUAUAUGCUUUAUCUAAUCUGUCUAAAAGUCAUGUAUGUUCUUGAUCAUAUUGUCGUGGGCACACUUAGUCCAACGCGUGUAUUAUUCUUUGGAUGGUAGAAACUCAUUUGGCAUUUUUUUUCCCUUUCAUUGAUUAGGAUGUGGUGUAGAAAAUAACUAGGUCAUUGGCAUGCCUUAUAGCAUCCUUGGAAUAUGAUUAAAACAUAUCAAGUGAAUCACUGUAGAGAUUAAGAGCUUUCUAGUUCAUCUCACCAGCACCUUUAUCUCUAUUAAGAGUUAAAAAGAAAAAAAUGAACAGAAUUACAUUUUUUAUUCUUGGGUGGGAGGGUGUUUGACAAUCCUUCGUCAGUUACAAGAAAUUGAAUUCUUAGGAACAUACUUCCUAUUGAGUUAUAGGCCUUUGCUGCAUUAUUGAAUGCUUCAGUUUUGCAGCUUUUGCUACUAAAACAAAAGUUCUCUAAUAAUAGCGAGCUGCAUUAGGUUUGAAAAAUUACAUCCAAAUAGGUGAACCUAGGAAGUGUCAUAAAAAUAGGCCUCUUGA
rnacentral:misc_RNA from 1 species